rnacentral:rRNA from 1 species
UGAGGAAUAUUGGUCAAUGGCCGAGAGGCUGAACCAGCCAAGUAGCGUGGAGGAUGACUGCCCUACGGGUUGUAAACUCCUUUUAUAAGGGGGUAAAGGCAUCUACGUGUAGAUGUUUGCAAGUACCUUAUGAAUAAGCAUCGGCUAACUCCGUGCCAGCAGCCGCGGUAAUACGGAGGAUGCGAGCGUUAUCCGGAUUUAUUGGGUUUAAAGGGAGCGUAGACGGGAUGUCAAGUCAGCUGUGAAAGUCUGCGGCUCAACCGUAGAAUUGCAGUUGAAACUGGCGUUCUUGAGUGCGUUCGAGGCAGGCGGAAUUCGUGGUGUAGCGGUGAAAUGCAUAGAUAUCACGAAGAACCCCGAUUGCGAAGGCAGCCUGCCAGGCCGCUACUGACGUUGAAGCUCGAAAGUGCGGGUAUCAAACAGG